rnacentral:rRNA from 1 species
AGAGUUUGAUCAUGGCUCAGGAUGAACGCUAGCUACAGGCUUAACACAUGCAAGUCGAGGGGUAGCAGGGUAGCAAUACCGCUGACGACCGGCGCACGGGUGAGUAACACGUAUCCAACCUUCCCAUAACUCAGGGAUAGCCUUUCGAAAGAAAGAUUAAUACCUGAUAGUACUUUUUCAAGGCAUCUUAGAAAAAGUUAAAGAUUUAUUGGUUAUGGAUGGGGAUGCGUUCCAUUAGAUAGUUGGUGAGGUAACGGCUCACCAAGUCUUCGAUGGAUAGGGGUUCUGAGAGGAAGGUCCCCCACAUUGGUACUGAGACACGGACCAAACUCCUACGGGAGGCAGCAGUGAGGAAUAUUGGUCAAUGGGCGAGAGCCUGAACCAGCCAAGUAGCGUGAAGGAAUGAAGGUCCUAUGGAUUGUAAACUUCUUUUAUAGUAGAAUAAAGUGAUCCACGUGUGGAUUUUUGUAUGUAUACUAUGAAUAAGGAUCGGCUAACUCCGUGCCAGCCGCCGC